rnacentral:rRNA from 1 species
UUUAUUUUACCUUGUUGCUUCGGCGGGCCCGCCUUAACUGGCCGCCGGGGGGCUUACGCCCCCGGGCCCGCGCCCGCCGAAGACACCCUCGAACUCUGUCUGAAGAUUGUAGUCUGAGUGAAAAUAUAAAUUAUUUAAAACUUUCAACAACGGAUCUCUUGGUUCCGGCAUCGAUGAAGAACGCAGCGAAAUGCGAUACGUAAUGUGAAUUGCAAAUUCAGUGAAUCAUCGAGUCUUUGAACGCACAUUGCGCCCCCUGGUAUUCCGGGGGGCAUGCCUGUCCGAGCGUCAUUGCUGCCCUCAAGCACGGCUUGUGUGUUGGGCCCCGUCCUCCGAUCCCGGGGGACGGGCCCGAAAGGCAGCGGCGGCACCGCGUCCGGUCCUCGAGCGUAUGGGGCUUUGUCACCCGCUCUGUAGGCCCGGCCGGCGCUUGCCGAUCAACCCAAAUUUUUAUCCAGGUUGACCUCGGAUCAGGUAGGGAUACCCGCUGAACUUAAGCAUAUCAAUAAGCGGAGGAAAAGAAACCAACAGGGAUUGCCCCAGUAACGGCGAGUGAAGCGGCAAGAGCUCAAAUUUGAAAGCUGGCUCCUUCGGGGUCCGCAUUGUAAUUUGUAGAGGAUGCUUCGGGAGCGGUCCCCAUCUAAGUGCCCUGGAACGGGACGUCAUAGAGGGUGAGAAUCCCGUAUGGGAUGGGGUGUCCGCGCCCGUGUGAAGCUCCUUCGACGAGUCGAGUUGUUUGGGAAUGCAGCUCUAAAUGGGUGGUAAAUUUCAUCUAAAGCUAAAUAUUGGCCGGAGACCGAUAGCGCACAAGUAGAGUGAUCGAAAGAUGAAAAGCACUUUGAAAAGAGAGUUAAAAAGCACGUGAAAUUGUUGAAAGGGAAGCGCUUGCGACCAGACUCGCUCGCGGGGUUCAGCCGGCAUUCGUGCCGGUGUACUUCCCCGCGGGCGGGCCAGCGUCGGUUUGGGCGGUCGGUCAAAGGCCCUCGGAAGGUAACGCCCCUAGGGGCGUCUUAUAGCCGAGGGUGCAAUGCGACCUGCCUAGACCGAG